UAGAUUGAAGCCCGCUGGUUUAGGUUUUUAGUUGUUAACUAAAGGUUUACGGGAUCAAGGCCCGUCGGUCUAG
rnacentral:tRNA from 1 species